UCCCUGGUGGCUCAGUGGUAAAGAAUCUGCCUGCAAUGCAGGAGACCCAGGUUCAAUCUCUGGGCUGGGAA
rnacentral:tRNA from 1 species